CGGGACAUAUAAAAAAAAAAAGAAAACUCUGUUCUGCAGAGUAGCUGUUGACAUUAUAGUUGCGCAGGAACUUUGUUGACUCUAGAGAACCGUGGGCAAAUCACACAUCCCUGUGGCGGCGACUUUGCAUGCGGAUGUCAUCCAUAUCAACUGUCGAUGCCAGUUUCUGCGCCUACCAUGGUGACCAUGGGUAACGAGGAAUCAGGGUUCCAUUCUGUACAGGGACCCUAAGAAACAGUUACCACAUGCAAGGAAGGCAGCAGGUGCGCAAAUGACCCACUCCCGACGCGGGAAGGUAGUGA